UGAGUAACACGUGGGCAAUCUGCCCUGCACUUCGGGAUAAGCCUGGGAAACUGGGUCUAAUACCGGAUAGGACCUUUAGNCGCAUGUCUUUUGGUGGAAAGCUUUUGCGGUGUGGGAUGGGCCCGCGGCCUAUCAGCUUGUUGGUGGGGUGAUGGCCUACCAAGGCGACGACGGGUAGCCGGCCUGAGAGGGUGUCCGGCCACACUGGGACUGAGAUACGGCCCAGACUCCUACGGGAGGCAGCAGUGGGGAAUAUUGCACAAUGGGCGCAAGCCUGAUGCAGCGACGCCGCGUGGGGGAUGACGGCCUUCGGGUUGUAAACCUCUUUCACCAUCGACGAAGGUCCGGGUUUUCUCGGAUUGACGGUAGGUGGAGAAGAAGCACCGGCCAACUACGUGCCAGCAGCCGCGGUAAUACGUAGGGUGCGAGCGUUGUCCGGAAUUACUGGGCGUAAAGAGCUCGUAGGUGGUUUGUCGCGUUGUUCGUGAAAUCUCACGGCUUAACUGUGAGCGUGCGGGCGAUACGGGCAGACUAGAGUACUGCAGGGGAGACUGGAAUUCCUGGUGUAGCGGUGGAAUGCGCAGAUAUCAGGAGGAACACCGGUGGCGAAGGCGGGUCUCUGGGCAGUAACUGACGCUGAGGAGCGAAAGCGUGGGGAGCGAACAGGAUUAGAUACCCUGGUAGUCCACGCCGUAAACGGUGGGUACUAGGUGUGGGUUUCCUUCCUUGGGAUCCGUGCCGUAGCUAACGCAUUAAGUACCCCGCCUGGGGGAGUACGGCCGCAAGGCUAAAACUCAAAGGAAUUGACGGGGGGCCCGCACAA
rnacentral:rRNA from 1 species